AACGAACGCUGGCGGCAUGCCUAACACAUGCAAGUCGAACGAGACCUUCGGGUUUAGUGGCGCACGGGUGCGUAACGCGUGGGAACCUGCCCUUAGGUUUGGAAUAACUCCCCGAAAGGGGUGCUAAUACCGGAUCAUGUCUCCGGACCAAAGAUUUAUCGCCUUUGGAUGGGCCCGCGUUGGCUUAGCUGGUUGGUAGGGUAAAAGCCUACCAAGGCGACGAUCCAUAGCUGGUCUGAGAGGAUGAGCAGCCACACUGGGAGUGAGACACGGCCCAGAAUCCUACGGGAGGCAGCAGUGGGGAAUAUUGGACAACGGGCGGAAGCCUGAUCCAGCAAGGCCGCGUGAGUGAUGAAGGCUGUAGGGUUGUAAAGCUCUUUUACCCGGUAUGAUAAUGACAGUACCGGGAGAAUAAGCACCGGCUAACUCCGUG
rnacentral:rRNA from 1 species